UUGGCCCUUCCAUCUUCCACCAAGUGGAGCACUCCUCCCCUGCAGAGGAUGCAGCCCUCACCAAACAACUGAACCUCCUGGCACUUUGAUCCUAGACUUUUCCGCCUCCAGAACUGACUGAAACAAGUAUCUACUGCUCAUUAUUUUACCCACUUCAUAAGUGAAGAAAUUGAGAUUCGGAGACAGGAUAUCCCGAGCCAGGCUACCCAAAGGUUGGAGUGAGGGACUACUUUAAUGAUUCAAUCCAAAUGAUUUAUAACUAUUGUACCAAAGCACCAGCUCAACGGAUGGCCUGUGACAGUCACUGAAAUGUACCACUCAAGUCUUCCACUGCAGGGUGCAACAUUCCAAGCUGCUGUCUCUCUGGGCCCACUACCACAUUCACACAGAAUUCUUGCUUCUUCUGGAAUGUUCCCAGCCAAUGACUGUGCAGGCCCCUUCCUGUGGGACAUGGGUUUCCUCCAACAGAUAACUUUGGCUGGGGGACUCU
rnacentral:lncRNA from 10 species